ensembl:lncRNA
CUCACAUAGAAAGGGGACAGUCUGCAGCACCUUCUUCCUGGCCAAGCCCUUUCUCCCUAGGAGGACAGCGGUUCCUCCUUUAGUGAUGCUUGGCCCUGCCCCACUCAGUCUCCACACUGCAGCCGGAGGGUUAUUCCUGACACAAGUCCACCGUGGCCUUCUGCUGGCUUCAAAGUUGUGCCCUGAUGUCUGGUCAUAGCCAAAAGAGCCCUGAAUGACCAGCCCCUGCCUGCCGGCCACUUCUUCCUCGUGCUCAACAUGCUCCUGAUAUUUUAGGUCACCUUCAUCUUCACAUGAGCCAAGUUCCUCCUGGGGGCAGACUUCGCCCGUUUUUUCUCUCGCUCUUCCCCUGCAGCUCUCCUAAGUGAAUCCACCGAGCCCUUCUCUGUGGCUGCAGCCUACCGGCUACGUCUUCAGAGAGGUCACCCUGACGGCGCUUCCUGAACAACACUCUCAACCACCAUUCUCUGCUUAUUUGCUCAGCAAUUUGUUUUUCUUCUUUUCACACCACAACUAAUAAUUACUUGAUGUAUUACUCCAAACUGCUUCAUGGAAAUAACACGCUGUGUUCGGCUAUUUGGACUACGUGGGCUGAUGCAGGUGAGUAGUCUCGGUGCCUGGCUCUCCUUACUUGCUGUCUGGGCUCCACACAGCAGGUCUGCUUCCGAUCACCAGCUUGGGGCCCUGCGUCCCUCCUGCCUGAACCAUCGACCAACACAGACUCUCGGGCACCGGAGAUGGAGUGCCGUGCUAAGGGAUGUGAUUGCAGAACAGGUCUGGAUUAGAUCCACCCGCUCAUGCGUUUGAGUGCUCUAUCCUAUCCCGGAGAAGCACUGGAACAAGCCAGUAAAGGUGAAACCAGGGAGGAAAUGUUAGAAAUUAAACUCCAUUUUGCGCAUGCUCAGGAUGAACACUUCUCAAGGAACAUUACAUUCACGGAAAGAUGCUGAUUAUUGUGCUCAACAUCGCAGAGUGGCCAGGAUCCCCAUAAUUAGUCACUGCUGCCUUCGUUUACAAGGAUGCACAUACUGCAAGGCUGCUCAGGGCUGAAGUGCCCCGUAAUGCAUCUUUGCAGAGUCCAAGAAAAGAUGACAUUGGAAUAAAGAUCUGAAGGAAGUAAGGAAGACCUGCCGAAGAGAGGGAAUAGAAUGGAGGAAGGCUUUGAAGAGCAGUGAGGAGACCAGAACUGGGGAGAGGAGUGAAGAGAGUAGCUAGCACCGGAGUGGGAGAGAAGAAAAAGGGAAGUCAGAAUAGUUUUGAUGUCUUUGUCUUUGAAAAACUGCAAUAAAUCCAAGGCUGAGGAUAGAGCGGCGAUCAGAAAUUAUAUGGAUUCCUCUAAGCCAAGCUAUAUAUCAUCGACACAAUCCAGCAGGCCAGGUAUGAGUGGAUUCCACAAAGACACCUGGAAGUGAUGACAGAAGCCUCAAAAUGAUAAAUGUAAAAAUCAAUGAUUUGUCUAUGGCAAGUCUCGGAGGACUGCUUGGGAAUAUCAGUGACAUUAGCUACUAAACUUGUUUUCACAAAAUGUUUGAAAAUAUUAUUCCCCCCCCAGCAGCAUCUGCUUCUGGAGGAUUGUGAUUAAAA